rnacentral:rRNA from 1 species
GACGAACGCUGGUGGCGUGCCUAAUACAUGCAAGUAGGACGCGGUUGCGAACGGGUGUGUAACGCGUAUGUAACUGCCUACUAGAGGGGGAUAACUAUUUUAAACGAUAGCUAAUACCGCAUACUAGUAGAUGGAUCUGCGUUGUAUUAGCUAGGUGGUAGGGUAAUGGCCUACCUAGGCAACGGUACAUAGCCGACCCGAAGGGGGGAACGGCCCAAACGGGACCGAGACACGGCCCAGAACCCUACGGGAGGCAGCCAUAUGGAAACUUCCGCCAAGGGGGGAAACCUGGCCGAGCAAAGCCGCGUGAGGGAAGAAGGUUUUCGGGUCGGAAAGCUCUGGUGUUAAGGGAGCGGUACCUAACCAGAAAGGGACGGCUAACUACGUGCCAGCAGCCGCGGUAAUAC